UUCCCUGGAUUUAUUCCCUGGUUUGGGGCUGAUCUGGGGCAGAAUUCCCAGGAUUUACCCCGGGUUUGGCUCAGGAUUCCCAGGCUGGUUUGGCUCAGAAUUCCCAGGAUUUUCCCCCAGUUUGGCUCAGGAUUCCCAGGAUUUCCCCCCAGUUUGGCUCAGGAUUCCCAGGAUUUUCCCCCCAGUUCGGCUCAGAAUUCCAGGAUUUCCCCCAGUUUGGCUCAGAAUUCCCAGGAUUUCCCCCCAGUUUGGCUCAGAAUUCCCAGGAUUUUCCUCCAGUUUGGCUCAGGAUUCCCAGGAUUUACCCCCCAGUUUGGCUCAGGAUUCCCAGGCUGCUUUGGCUCAGGAUUCCCAGGAUUUUCCCCUGGUUUAGCUCAGGAUUCCCAAGAUUUUCCCCCCGGUUUGGCUCAGGAUUCCCAGGCUGCUUUGGCUCAGGAUUCCCAGGAUUUUCCCCCAGUUCGGCUCAGGAUUCCCAGGCUGGUUUGCCUCAGGAUUUCCCCCCAGUUUGGCUCAGAAUUCCCAGGAUUUCCCCCCAGUUUGGCUCAGAAUUCCAGGAUUUCCCCCCAGUUUGGCUCAGAAUUCCAGGAUUUCCCCCAGUUUGGCUCAGAAUUCCAGGAUUUACCCCGCUGUUUCCCGUGGCAGGAACCCCUCCCUGAAGCAGCAGCUCUUCUCCUACGCCAUCCUGGGCUUCGCGCUGUCCGAGGCCAUGGGGCUCUUCUGUCUGAUGGUGGCAUUCCUCAUCCUCUUCGCCAUGUGACAGCUCUUCUCCUACGCCAUCCUGGGCUUCGCGCUGUCCGAGGCCAUGGGGCUCUUCUGUCUGAUGGUGGCAUUCCUCAUCCUCUUCGCCAUGUGACAGCUCCGGGGGCUCCUCCCGACAUAAAAACAGAAUUCCCUACGGAAUCACCGCUCCUGCCUUCCUUCUUCACCUCCUGGGGUGGAUUGCAGCCGGGUUCAUCUGGGGUUUGGGAACGGUUUCAGUGCGGGAAUCGCCGAUUUGGGGUUUUCUUGGGGUUUUGUUUGUCAGUUUCUGGGAUGGCUGGGAAAUCCCAGCUGUGGGAUGGGAGUGGGACAUGGGAUUGGGACACGGGGACAAAGGGAAUGGGACACGGGAAUGGGACACAGGGAUGGGACACAGGGAAUGGGAUUAGGACACAGGGAUGGGAUUGGGUCACAGGGAUGGGACACAGGGAUGGGACACAGGAAUGGGAAUGGGACACAGGGAAUGGGGCAGUGGGACACGGGAAUAGGAUUGGGACACAGGGAUGGGAUUGGGACACAGGGAAUGGGACACAGGGAAUGGGACAUGGGAAUAGGAUUGGGACACAGGGAUGGGAAUGGGACACAGGGAUGGGAAUGGGACACAGGAAUGGGAAUGGGACACAGGGAAUGGGACAGUGGGAUAUGGGAUUGGGAAUGGGACACAGGGAUGGGAAUGGGACACAGGAAAUGGGAAUGGGACACGGGAAUGGGACACAGGGAUGGGAAUGGGACACAAGGAAUGGGAAUGGGACAUGGGAUUGGGACACAGGGACACAGGGAAUGGGACACAGCAUGGGAAUAGGACACAGGAAUGGGAAUGGGACACAGGGAAUGGGUGGGACAUGGGAUUGGGAAUGGGACACGGG
ensembl:lncRNA